rnacentral:rRNA from 1 species
UACGGAGGGUGCAAGCGUUAUCCGGAUUCACUGGGUUUAAAGGGUGCGUAGGUGGGUUGGUAAGUCAGUGGUGGAAUCUCCGAGCUUAACUUGGAAACUGCCAUUGAUACUAUCAGUCUUGAAUACCGUGGAGGUCAGCGGAAUAUGUCAUGUAGCGGUGAAAUGCUUAGAUAUGACAUAGAACACCAAUUGCGAAGGCAGCUGACUACGCGAAUAUUGACACUGAUGCACGAAAGCGUGGGGAUCAAACAGG